GUAGAGAACAUCUUGCUCUGCAUGACAGAGGACAUUAUGUGUUGUGUGAUUUUUGGCAGUGCCAUUAACCGCUCCCAGAAUCCACAAACAGAAGGUGUGGCGGCUGUAGAAGAAGAAAUCAAGAAGUACACUACGCUUUCAUACCGGGCCCCAGAAAUGGUGAAUCUAUAUGGGGGCAAAGUUAUCACUACUAAAGCUGAUAUAUGGGCUUUGGGCUGCUUGUUGUACACAUGUUGUGUUAUUUCACAACUGCCGUUUGGAGA